GUCGUCAUAAUACAAGUGUAUUGCCAGCAGAACGGAACCCUCCGGGCUGGCCAUACACUUGUAUUAUGCAGCAUGCUGGCAUUGAAUUACGUGAUUGAUUCUGUGAGAACAGAAUCCAUUACGUAAUUCACUUAAACCCUGAACCUGCCAAAAGGCAGGUUCGCUCAACUCUAAUCUAGGUACAGUAUAGAAAGACUCCU